UGCUGUUGUUCAUCAGGUCUGGGAGGUUGGGACAGCAGUUCAGUCUAGUCUCUGCUGUUGUCCAUCAGAUCUGGGAGGUUGGGACAGCAGUCUAGUCUCUGCUGUUGUCCAUCAGAUCUGGGAGGUUGGGACAGC